rnacentral:tRNA from 1 species
GGUUUGUAGUUCAGUGGGAGAGCACCUACCUAGCAUGUGUGAGGCACUGGGUUCAAUUCUCAGCACCA